rnacentral:sRNA from 1 species
AUGUCAAGCUCCCGGGCCCCCCCAAAUGAUGGCAAAUUCCUAGCUACGCCACUGCUUUAGACAGUGAGUCAUGGCUUACAAUGUGAGCAAAACCAAAGACAGUAAAAGACACUUGCUAGUUAUUUUCCACAAUCUGUCAGAAGAAUGGUAUCUUGCAUGAUUUAGAAACGACUAAUUGUUUCUAUUUAAUGUGUUUGUAGCUAGACGUAUCAAGUUCGAGUCCCACAACUGGAGGAGCAUAGGACUGAAGUGUAUGUCUGGUCACUCGAACUGCUUGAGCGCUAUGAGACAUAACAUUGAAUAGACGAGGACGCAGAGCCCUCGACUUAAUCUCAAUGGGAGUUAAAUCUCGCGCAUAAUGGAAGUCUCUUGCGAAGGCUGUGGAACCAAGACCAAUCAUUAUAAUAGGCAUGAACACUGACCUGUAACGACGUAGCCUGUGGGUAGUGGAGACCAAUAGCUCAUUGCCACGUCACAGGUCUGUACAAUGUGGCAACGAGAUAUUCGUCUCCAAUCUCCACUGACUCGAGGACAAGCUUUAUUUUUUUUUCGGAUAAAUUCAGAAAGCUAUUUCUACAAAAAAAUACACUUUUAUUGGUGACCUA